rnacentral:misc_RNA from 1 species
GAUGAAGAACGUAGCGAAAUGCGAUAAUUAAUGUGAAUUGCAGAAUUUAGUGAAUCAUCGAAUCUUUGAACGCACAUUGCGCCCCUUGGUAUUCCGGGGGGCAUGCCUGUUCGAGCGUCAUUUCAACCCUCAAGCUCUGCUUGGUCUUGGGCCGCGCCGGCGACGGCGGGCCUCAAAAACAGUGGCGGCGCCAUCUGGUUCCUCAGCGUAGUAAUUCUUCUCGCUGUUGGGCCCGGGUGGCCGCUGGCCAGCAACCCCAAAUUUUCUAUGGUUGACCUCGGAUCAGGUAGGGAUACCCGCUGAACUUAAGCAUAUCAAUAAGCGGAGGA